GUGAUGAGGAGCUUGCUUCUCUGAUCAGUGGCGAACGGGUGAGUAACACGUGAGCAAUCUGCCCUUGACUCUGGGAUAAGCGUUGGAAACGACGUCUAAUACCGGAUACGACCUUUGGAGGCAUCUCUGGGGGUGGAAAGAAUUUUGGUCAAGGAUGAGCUCGCGGCCUAUCAGCUAGUUGGUGAGGUAAUGGCUCACCAAGGCGACGACGGGUAGCCGGCCUGAGAGGGUGACCGGCCACACUGGGACUGAGACACGGCCCAGACUCCUACGGGAGGCAGCAGUGGGGAAUAUUGCACAAUGGGCGAAAGCCUGAUGCAGCAACGCCGCGUGAGGGACGACGGCCUUCGGGUUGUAAACCUCUUUUAGUAGGGAAGAAGCGUAAAAGUGACGGUACCUGCAGAAAAAGCACCGGCUAACUACGUGCCAGCAGCCGCGGUAAUACGUAGGGUGCAAGCGUUGUCCGGAAUUAUUGGGCGUAAAGAGCUCGUAGGCGGUUUGUCGCGUCUGCUGUGAAAACCCGAGGCUCAACCUCGGGCCUGCAGUGGGUACGGGCAGACUAGAGUGCGGUAGGGGAGAUUGGAAUUCCUGGUGUAGCGGUGGAAUGCGCAGAUAUCAGGAGGAACACCAAUGGCGAAGGCAGAUCUCUGGGCCGUAACUGACGCUGAGGAGCGAAAGCAUGGGGAGCGAACAGGAUUAGAUACCCUGGUAGUCCAUGCCGUAAACGUUGGGAACUAGAUGUGGGGACCAUUCCACGGUCUCCGUGUCGCAGCUAACGCAUUAAGUUCCCCGCCUGGGGAGUACGGCCGCAAGGCUAAAACUCAAAGGAAUUGACGGGGGCCCGCACAAGCGGCGGAGCAUGCGGAUUAAUUCGAUGCAACGCGAAGAACCUUACCAAGGCUUGACAUAUAGAGGAAACGUCUGGAAACAGUCGCCCCGCAAGGUCUCUAUACAGGUGGUGCAUGGUUGUCGUCAGCUCGUGUCCUGAGAUGUUGGGUUAAGUCCCGCAACGAGCGCAACCC
rnacentral:rRNA from 1 species